rnacentral:rRNA from 1 species
GAUGAACGCUAGCUACAGGCUUAACACAUGCAAGUCGAGGGGCAGCAUGGUCUUAGCUUGCUAAGGCCGAUGGCGACCGGCGCACGGGUGAGUAACACGUAUCCAACCUGCCGUCUACUCUUGGACAGCCUUCUGAAAGGAAGAUUAAUACAAGAUGGCAUCAUGAGUCCGCAUGUUCACAUGAUUAAAGGUAUUCCGGUAGACGAUGGGGAUGCGUUCCAUUAGAUAGUAGGCGGGGUAACGGCCCACCUAGUCUUCGAUGGAUAGGGGUUCUGAGAGGAAGGUCCCCCACAUUGGAACUGAGACACGGUCCAAACUCCUACGGGAGGCAGCAGUGAGGAAUAUUGGUCAAUGGACGAGAGUCUGAACCAGCCAAGUAGCGUGAAGGAUGAGGGUCCUACGGAUUGUAAACUUCUUUUAUAAGGGAAUAAACCUCCCACGUGUGGGAGCUUGUAUGUACCUUAUGAAUAGCAUCGGCUAACUCCGUGCCAG